AGGCCCCUAUGCCACACAUUCUGCUUCACAUCUCCUCUCUCCCUNUCUUAUCUCCUCUCACCCCCACUCANCACUACCCCCUCCCUNCAACCCCCNNCNNCUNNCCCCUCNNCCUCNNCNCCCUUCGCUCCCCACUCCCCCACCNCUAACCCGGCCCUGACUCCCACACCACCCUCCACCCCCUCCUCUCACCCCCCACCCCGUCCCACCCACUAUCUCUCCCUCCCCCCUCACUCCCCCCCCUCACGCCACCCCCCCCCCUCCUCCUUCCCCCCACCCGCCCUCCCAACCCUCCCCACCCCCCCCCCGCUCCCCCCCCAACCCACCCUUCCACCCUCUCUCCACCCCCCGCCCCCCCCCUCCCCCCCCCCCCCACCCCACCCCCCCCCCCCCGCCCCCUCCCCCAACUCUCCCGCUCCCCCACUACUUCCCCGCGCUCCUACCCUCCCCCCGCACCCCCAGACGGCCUCCACCCAUCACCUCCCCUCCCCCGUUCCCACCCCACCCCGCUGGAGACUUCCUCACACUAUACGCCCCCCCCCACCCGCCCGCCACCUGCUCCCACUCACCGUCACAAGCGCNGGCGACCNCCANGGCCCAGCAAUNCUCACAAAACCACUCUCAGUUCGGCUUGUAGGCUGCAACUGCCUCCANGAAUCCGGAAUCGCUAGUAAUUGUGGAUCAGCAUGCCACGGUGAAUACGUUCCCGGGUCUUGUACACCANCGCCCGUCACACCACGAGAGUUUGUAACACCCGAAGUCGGUGGGGUAACCGCAAGGAGCCAGCUGCCUAAGGUGGGACAGAUGAUUGGGGUGAAGUCGUAACAAGGUAA
rnacentral:rRNA from 1 species